rnacentral:rRNA from 1 species
AGUGAACGCUGGCGGUAGGCCUAACACAUGCAAGUCGAACGGCAGCACAGUAAGAGCUUGCUCUUACGGGUGGCGAGUGGCGGACGGGUGAGGAAUACAUCGGAAUCUACUUUUUCGUGGGGGAUAACGUAGGGAAACUUACGCUAAUACCGCAUACGACCUACGGGUGAAAGCAGGGGAUCUUCGGACCUUGCGCGAUUGAAUGAGCCGAUGUCGGAUUAGCUAGUUGGCGGGGUAAAGGCCCACCAAGGCGACGAUCCGUAGCUGGUCUGAGAGGAUGAUCAGCCACACUGGAACUGAGACACGGUCCAGACUCCUACGGGAGGCAGCAGUGGGGAAUAUUGCACAAAGGGCGCAAGCCUGAUCCAGCCAUGCCGCGUGGGUGAAGAAGGCCUUCGGGUUGUAAAGCCCUUUUGUUAGGGAAGAAAAGCAGCAGAUUAAUACCCCGAUGUUCUGACGGUACCCAACGAAUAAGCACCGGCUAACUUCGUG